rnacentral:rRNA from 1 species
CUUGCAUCAUUGUAAAAAUGAUGCAGGAUCGACUAUGUCGAAUAAAAUUCUAGGUAGAAUUAUGAUAAUGACAUUGUCUGCCUAUGUGUCUUGACCAAAUUACGUGCCAGCAGUCGCGGUAAUACGUAGAAGACUAGUGUUAUUCAUGUUUAAUCGGUUUAAAGGGUACCUAGACGGUAAAUCAAGCCUAAAAUUAAAUGAAGGGACUAAUUUACUAGAGUUACUUAUGAGGGGGUAUUAAAGUACUGCUGGUGUAGAGAUGAAAUUCUGUCAUACCUCUUUUCAAUAGAAAAACAAUGGCACAGGUAUAGGCGAAAGCAUCCCCUUAUGUGAUAACUGACGUUGAGGGACGAAGGCUUUGUGUAGCGAACAGGAUUAGAUACCCCAGUAGUCAAAGCAGAAAAUGAUGAAUGUCAUAGAUUAGAUAAAUAAGUUUAUUCUAUAAAUGAAAGUGUAAGCAUUCCACCUCAAGAGUAAUUUGGCAACAUUGGAACUGAAAUCAUUAGACCGUUUCUGAAACCAGUAGUGAAGUAUGUUGUUUAAUUUGAUGAUCCGCAAAAAACCUUACCACAAUUUGAAUAUUUAUAUUUUUUUAUUGUUUUCUUUUUAAUUUUCUUCUGAUUUGAUUUUUCUAAAGAAAAAAAGAAAAAGAGGCGAUAUGAUAUAUUUACAAGCGUUGCACGGCUGUCUUCAGUUAAUGUCGCGAGACUUUGGUUAGUUCCAUUAAAUUAACGUAAACCCUUACUUUAUUUUUAUAUAGAGUAGUUCCCCGCUAUAUUGGAUAUGA